UUUCCGUAGGUGAACCUGCGGAAGGAUCAUUGAAUCGAUCAGACCACUCCGGUAACUAUCAUUUUGUCAAUCCCACAGGUGGGCAGCUUGCAAAAGCGGCCCAACUGUGCGCACGCCCCUGUUGCUGGGGAGCUCGCUUCGCCGGCAAGAGGUCGUGCGGGCCGGUCGGCUGGCCCCUUUUCUCUUCCGAAAAAAGGGCGUCAGCCGGCUGCGCUGGCCAAACCUCCACCGACCCAAUCUAUCUCUGAAGCCAAGGGCGCCGGCAGCGACUGCCGCGCCACAAACCAAAGACAACUCUCAACAACGGAUAUCUUGGCUCCC
rnacentral:misc_RNA from 1 species